CGGAGCGUGGCGCAGUCUGGUUAGCGCACUUGUCUGGGGGACAAGGGGUCGGCGGUUCGAAUCCGCCCGCUCCGACCA
rnacentral:tRNA from 4 species